GACAGAGGUGCCGAGCGUUAGGCGGAAUCACUGGGCUUAAAGCGUGUGUAGGCGGAGUGCUAAGUACCUUGUGAAAUCCCACGGCUUAACCGUGGAACUGCUUGGUAUACUGGUUCUCUUGGGUCAUCUAGGGGCGAGCGGAACAAACGGUGGAGCGGUGAAAUGCGUAGAUAUCGUUUGGAACGCCAAUGGUGAAAACAGCUCGCUGAGGAUGCACCGACGCUGAGACACGAAAGCCAGGGGAGCGAACGGG
rnacentral:rRNA from 1 species